rnacentral:rRNA from 1 species
UGGGGAAUAUUGCACAAUGGGCGAAAGCCUGAUGCAGCAACGCCGCGUGAGGGACGACGGCCUUCGGGUUGUAAACCUCUUUUAGCAAGGAAGAAGCGAAAGUGACGGUACUUGCAGAAAAAGCGCCGGCUAACUACGUGCCAGCAGCCGCGGUAAUACGUAGGGCGCAAGCGUUAUCCGGAAUUAUUGGGCGUAAAGAGCUCGUAGGCGGUUUGUCGCGUCUGCUGUGAAAACCCGAGGCUCAACCUCGGGCCUGCAGUGGGUACGGCAGACUAGAGUGCGGUAGGGAAGAUUGGAACUCCGUGGUGUAGCGGUGGAAUGCGCAGAUAUCAGGAAGAACACCGAUGGCGAAGGCAGAUCUCUGGGCCGUAACUGACGCUGAGGAGCGAAAGGGUGGGGAGCAAAACAGGCUUAGAUACCCUGGUAGUCCACCCCGUAAACGUUGGAACUAGUUGUGGGUCCAUUCCACGGAUUCCGUGACGCAGCUAACGCAUUAAGUUCCCCGCCUGGGGAGUACGGCCGCAAGGCUAAAACUUAAAUGAAUUGACGGGGUCAUAGCUGUUUCCU